AUUGAACGCUGGCGGCAGGCCUAACACAUGCGAGUCGAGCGGAUGAAGGGAGCUUGCUCCUGGAUUCAGCGGCGGACGGGUGGGUAAUGCCUAGGAAUCUGCCUGGUAGUGGGGGAUAACGUCCGGAAACGGGCGCUAAUACCGCAUACGUCCUGAGGGAGAAAGUGGGGGAUCUUCGGACCUCACGCUAUCAGAUGAGCCUAGGUCGGAUUAGCUAGUUGGUGGGGUAAAGGCCUACCAAGGCGACGAUCCGUAACUGGUCUGAGAGGAUGAUCAGUCACACUGGAACUGAGACACGGUCCAGACUCCUACGGGAGGCAGCAGUGGGGAAUAUUGGACAAUGGGCGAAAGCCUGAUCCAGCCAUGCCGCGUGUGUGAAGAAGGUCUUCGGAUUGUAAAGCACUUUAAGUUGGGAGGAAGGGCAGUAAGUUAAUACCUUGCUGUUUUGACGUUACCAACAGAAUAAGCACCGGCUAACUUCGUG
rnacentral:rRNA from 1 species